GAUGAACGCUGGCGGCGUGCCUAAUACAUGCAAGUCGAGCGAACAGAUGAGGAGCUUGCUCCUCUGACGUUAGCGGCGGACGGGUGAGUAACACGUGGAUAACCUACCUAUAAGACUGGGAUAACUUCGGGAAACCGGAGCUAAUACCGGAUAAUAUAUUGAACCGCAUGGUUCAAUAAUGAAAGACGGUUUUGCUGUCACUUAUAGAUGGAUCCGCGCCGCAUUAGCUAGUUGGUAAGGUAACGGCUUACCAAGGCAACGAUGCGUAGCCGACCUGAGAGGGUGAUCGGCCACACUGGAACUGAGACACGGUCCAGACUCCUACGGGAGGCAGCAGUAGGGAAUCUUCCGCAAUGGGCGAAAGCCUGACGGAGCAACGCCGCGUGAGUGAUGAAGGUCUUCGGAUCGUAAAACUCUGUUAUUAGGGAAGAACAAAUGUGUAAGUAACUAUGCACGUCUUGACGGUACCUAAUCAGAAAGCCACGGCUAACUACGUG
rnacentral:rRNA from 1 species